rnacentral:lncRNA from 14 species
CUCAUUCAACUUUACUUUAAAAUGUCAAGAUGAGGUAUGGACCAGAAAAAAAAGAUCUGAGAUUGAGGCUUAAAGAAUCCCUUCUAGGAUGUAUUGUGGCACUUUGAUGGAAGAAAACACAGAAAGUGACAAGUGCCAAUCAGCUUACCG